AUCUGAAAAAUGUACUGUUUAAAUAUACCAACAUUUGACUGUUUAUCCAUCUCUCUGUUAAAGGAUGAGGUUUUGUGGUUUGUUUCCAGUUUGGCUAUCACAGAUAAGCUUACUAUGAACGUGUACAUAAAAUUCUUUAUAUGAAUAUAGGGAUUCUUAGUCUAAAGUGAAUGGCUGUACCCAUUUGCAUUCCCAUCGGCAGUAUGGGAGCAUUCCAGGUCCCCUGUAUUCCUUACCAGAACUAGGUAGGUAUGGUCUGUAUUUUUUUUUUUUUUUUUUUUUUUUGGUCUGUAUUUUUAAUAUUAUCUGUUUUAAAAGUGUGGAGAUGUAUCUCACUGUGGUCUGAUUGCAUUUCCCUAGUGAUUCAUGAUGUUGAACAUUUUUGUGUUCAUUUGUCAGAUGUAUGUCUUCUUUUUAGUACGUAAGAAGACAUUAAAUGUGUUGGAACUUGACUUUUCUUCAGUGACUUUGCUGGGUAGAAUAAAUGUUUCUGCUAUUCACAACAUUACUCACCAUGUGUAGUCCUCAUUAUUAGCAUAGUUUCCGUUACUUUAAGUCUAGACAGUUAGUAAAAAGAAAAAACCCCAGCCAACCCUUGAUUAUUGCAUUUGCCAAUUUCCGUGGUAUAAAUGCUCCAACCCUGGGCAGUUUCAAGCUGUUAAUAUGAGGUUGUUACCAAACCAGAGUCAGAUCAAGCCAAGUGAAACCUCUGAGCUUCCCACAGUGAGACCAUGGGCACUGCUUCCUUUCCUGGUUUCCUGGCAUGUGUGUCGUUGGUGCCAGCGCUGGGCUCUGUGCCCUGUAUUCCUUCUCUCCCAGCAGUCCCAUCCUUGCUGCUCUGAGGUCUUAUAAGACAGGGCUCAGGAGUCAGAAAUCUUGAUGUUUGUGUGAAAGAUCCCACCAGCCUUCCCUGUCCGUGGUUGGGUGACUCUGUCCAGAGGCAUGGAACCUUGGUGUCCCGGGCCUUCCACUGUCCUUUGCUGACAGACUCUGGGGCCUGCUUAUGCCAGGAUGUUCACAUACUGACCUGGUCACUACUUGAGGGGACCACUGGCUUGUUUCCUUUAAGACCUUCCUUUAAUGUCCUUAUAAUUUUAGAAUGUGUGAUCUCAUGGGACGGGGCCCACUCCCUUUCCCUGUCUUUCCUCUUUGGCUGGCCUCCUCAGGCCCAGGUGGUUUCUCACCUUGAGCAAUAGGAGGGCCCUGGGUGCCUGACAGGGUGGAUGUUUUUCCUGCAUCAUCAAGGGAGGCUGAAAGGAAUGUGGCCCACGUGUGUGGGGGUGAGGAAAUGGUGAGGUAUCAGAGCUGGGUUCCCAUCACACCAGGCCUGUGUCCUAUAUCCACCAGUGUGUGGUACCAGCGACAGAUUUCAAGAGUUUCUACCUUUACUUUCUUGUUGUUGUUUUUUGUUUUGUUUUGUUUUAUAAGUUUAUUUUAGUUUAUUUAUUUAUUUUUGGCUGUGUUGGGUCUUCGCCGCUGCGUGCGGGGUUUCUCUAGUUGGCGGCGAGUGGGGGCUACUCUUCGUUGCAGUGCGCUGGCUUCUCAUUGUGGUGGCUUCUCAUUGUAGAGCAUGGGCUCUAGGUGUGCGGGCUUCAGUAGUUGUGGCAUGCGGGCUCUAGAGCACAGGCUUAGUAGUUAUGGCGCACGGGCUUAGUUGCUCCGUGGCAUGUGGGAUCUUCCUGGACCAGGGAUCAAACCCAGGUCCCCUGCAUUGACAGGCGGGUUCUCAACAACUGCGCCAUCAGGGAAGCCCGCUGUUGAUGCUUUGACUCUUCACUUCUGGCCCUGGUUCUCACCCAUUCCCUUCCACUGCUCCCUUUGCAGUGCUGUCAACAUUGACCUGCACUUAAAGUGUUGGGAUAUGUGCAUGUGUCCUUAAAUACUCCUUGUAGUCCAGCUGCUGUGAUGCAUUCAGACAUUCUGGGUCUGGACACAGCCUUCUACUCAUUGCUCACCAGUCACCAGUAGCCAGGCUUUGUUGAAAGGUAAGUUGAAGACCCUUCCUCGUGUUCUUGCCCAUCGUCUGUGCUCUGCGAUCAGAUGAGCUUCCCAAGCUCAGCUCUGCACAGCAGGCCUUCCUCACACAGGCUCUGGCCCCAUGCAUCUCAGCAAUCUUAAGGACUUACUGCUGGGUGUGUCUGAGACACAUUUCUGCUGGGGCCACGUUUAUUGGCAUGUCUCUCCUUCCAGGUUUUCAACAUGGAGCCCAGGAUGAGGAGGCGCUUUCAGAGCAAGGUGAUGCAGUUAUAGAGUCACAGGUCAAGACUCCAAAGCCAGGUCCAUCUAUCCAGAAGUCUCAUUCUUUUCCUUUUUUUAAAAUUAAUUUAUUUAUCUUUUCAUUUCUGGCUGCAUUGGGUAUUCGUUGCUGCACACAGGCUGUCUCUAGUUGCAGCACUCAGGGGCUACUCUUCAUUGUGGCGGCUUCUCUUGUUGUGGAGCACUGGCUCUAGGCACAUGGGCUUCAUUAGUUGUGGCAUCAGGGCUCAGUAGUUGUGGCUCACGGGUUCUAGAGUGCCUGCUCAGCAGUCAUGGCAUUGGCUUAGUGGCUCCGCGGCAUGUGGGAUCUUCCCGGACCAGGGCUCGAACCCAUGUCCCCUGCAUUGGCAGGCAGAUUCUUAACCACUGCGCACCCAGGGAAGUCCCAGAAGUCUCAUUCUUAAUGUGAUGUGUGGCCCAGUCUUGAAAGACAUUUUGCACCUGGUUGAGUAUGAUGGGACACAGCGCAAGCAAGAGGUGUACCCGUGUGUGGUGAGUCUUUCCCAGCACCAAAAGGAGCCCAGUAGGAAGAAACUCCCCAGAUGGGAUGAAGGGAGGACUUCAUUGGUGAAGAACUGCAGCUUUCACGUGGCAGAAAGGACCUUGACGUGCUGAACGGGAGGGAAGGACUUUCCGGCCAGUUCAGGCCUUCUCCAGAACCAGGCCCCUCACACGAGGGAAGACACACAGCGACAUGGAGGGCAGGGAGACCUUUGAAAGUGGAUAGAAUGAUUACAAGUGCAGUGAAUGUGGGAAAACCUUUAGCCAUGAACACAUACUUGUUGAGCACCAGAAAAACCAUUGCAGCGAAAGUGGGAAGACUUUAAUCAGACCGUUCCAUGUGGUUCAGCACCAGAAAAUCCACACUGAAACGAUGCUAUAUGAGCACCUUGGAUGUGGAGGGUUCUUUACACGAAGAUCUGGCCUCAUUGAACACCAGAGAGCUCACACUAGGCCAAUGCCUUAUGAGUGCAGCCAGUGUGGGAAGCGCGUUAAAAGACCACUUUACACUCGUUUUUCAUCAGAGCGUUCACAUGGGAGAAAAGCCAUAUAAAUGCAGUGAAUGUGGGAAAAUCUGGUCUGAUUUAGUGCUGGGAAGUACUGCUAUGCAGGUGUUUAAAAUUUUUUUAAAUUGUGGUACAAUGCUUGUAACAUAGCAUUUACAGUCUUAACCAUAUUUAACUGUAAGUUUAUCGGUAAUAAUACAUUCACCUUUUGUGCAGACACAUAUUCAGAAAUCUUCAUCUUAUAAAACUGAAAGUAAACCCAUUAGACAACAACUCCUCAUCCCCGCUCUCUUAUCCCCUGACAACUAUUCUACUUUCUGUCUAUGAAUUUGUCCACUCUGGGUACCUUAUAUAAGAGUCAUAAAGUUUUUCUCCUCUUGUGGCUGGCUUAUUUCACUGAAGACAAUGUCCUCAAGUUUCAUCUGCGUCCUAGCAUGUGUCAGAAUUUCCGUCUUUAUUGAGUGAGUAGUGCUCCAUUUUAUGUAUAUGCUACUUUUUCUGUAUCCCUUCAUCAGUGGGCUCUUGGGUUGCUUUCACUAUUUGGCUAUUGCGUAUAAUGCUGUUGUAAGCACGAUUGCACAAAUAUUUCUUUGAGGCCCUGGUUUCUGUCCUUUUUAGGUGUGUUUCCAGAUGGAGAAUUGUUGGAUCAUUAUUUCAAUAUGUAAAUUUCUUGAGGAACUAAGGGGCUAUUUUCCAUAGUAGCUGUACCAUUUUACACCGAUACAGCUAUAUCAUGUAAGGUGCAUGUGCAACUUCAUUCUUUUAUGUAUGGUUAUCUAGUUUUUUCAACACCAUCUGCUGAAAAAACUCAUUUCUCUUUGAAUGGUCUCUGCACCCUUUAAAAACAUCUGAGUAUGUAUGCGAAGGUUUGUUUCUGUGCUGUUUUAUUCCAUUCUCUUAUAUGUUUGUGUAUGUCAAUAACACAGCAUUUUGAUAUAUACUUUUUAAGUUUUUCAAAGUGGUUUGACUCAGUUUUGAAGCCCUGGCAGGAGAAGGACUGUCCGUUCCCCUUCUAGAACAGCUGAUGAAGCCCACAACCCCAACCACUUUCCUUAUCAGACUCUCAUUCUCUGGACUACCAGACACCAAGGUGUCAGACAUUUAGUGAUAGCUCCUAUGUUCUGGAACCCAUACAAUUAUUCAAAAUAGCCAAUCCACAGACAGCUCAUGAAACCUAGCUAAUCCCAUCACUCUUGCCAAAUUUUAACUGCCCACCACAGCUCCAGCUUUCUGUUAAUCCUGUCCCUGGGCUCAGCCCUCUUUGUUGCCCUGUCUAACAUCUUUCAUUCUGAGCUGUAAGUAACAAACAGUUCUGUCUUUCAUGUAUCCCAGUAUCAUUGUGCUGUGUAUUCCACCAUCAAGAACCUUUUGAUCUUACAGAACAACUCCACACCCAGCAGGGUAUUAGGAGUACGGCAGAUGUUGGACAGUCUUCAGCCACUAGUCCGUCUCCAUUCAGCACCAGGAAGCUCACACUGGAGAAAGACGUUACACGUGCAGCCACUGUGCUCUUGGCUUUUUAACAUAAUAACAGAUGUAAGCUCUGGAGAUUAGCUCCUGUGAGGGAGAUAUCCCCCAGAAACUGCAUCUCGUACAUCCAGACAUCCUCACUAGGGAGAUUCACGGUAAGGGCCAGGUUUGUGGGAAACUGGUGAACUCUGUUGCACUUUCAGACCUGCCUGGGGCCGUCACUGGAGUUCUGUCACUGCCCAUGUGUAUUAUAGAAGCCAGUCUCCUGGUAUUAGCUGGCAGGGAGUAUGGUCACUAUAGUUAGUAAUACUGUAUUGGGUGUUUAAAUGUUGCUAAGAGUAAAUCAUAGAAGUUCUCAACACAAAAAAACUUAUGUAACUAUGAGGAAAACGUGAAGUAGACCUAUUGUGAUCAUUUUGCAAUAUAAACCAAUACUGAAUCAUUAUGUUAUACAUCUGAAACUAAUAAAUGUUAUAUGCUAAUUAUAUCUCAAUUUUUUUUAGAAAGCAGGGAGAACAGAUUGCUGUAGUCUCUUGCUUUUCCUGGAGUAUUCGCCAGCCACUUGAGCCCUUUGGUGAGACCUCAUGCCCACCCCUUUGAUUUGUUCAGGUGUGGACAUCACCCACUUUGGACAGAGGACUCCAUCCGCUGUUGGCUGGCAACUUACAGAGGUUUCCCUUGUUUCAGGCUCAUUAUUGAUUGUCUUAUGAGAUUCUUAACAGAUUUUUUUGAGCCUCCAUUUUACCCACCCUAGGAACUGCUCACCUUGCUGGUUUUUGCGAUAAAGUUAUUAUUGGGUGUUUUUCUUUGUUUCUUUCUUUUUUAUUGAAGUACAGUUGAUUUGCAGUGUUGUGUUUAUUACUGGUAUACAGCAAAGGAAUUCAGAUAUAUGUAUUUUUUUUUUCCAUAUGGUUUAUCAUAGGAUUU
ensembl:lncRNA